rnacentral:rRNA from 1 species
GUUUAUUUGAUAGUACCUUACUACUUGGAUAACCGUGGUAAUUCUAGAGCUAAUACAUGCUAAAAACCCCGACUUCGGAAGGGGUGUAUUUAUUAGAUAAAAAACCAAUGCCCYUCGGGGCUCCUUGGUGAUUCAUGAUAACUUAACGAAUCGCAUGGCCUUGCGCCGGCGAUGGUUCAUUCAAAUUUCUGCCCUAUCAACUUUCGAUGGUAGGAUAGUGGCCUACCAUGGUAUCAACGGGUAACGGGGAAUUAGGGUUCUAUUCCGGAGAGGGAGCCUGAGAAACGGCUACCACAUCCAAGGAAGGCAGCAGGCGCGCAAAUUACCCAAUCCCGACGCGGGGGAGGUAGUGACAAUAAAUACUGAUACAGGGCUCUUUUGGGUCUUGUAAUUGGAAUGAGUACAAUUUAAAUCCCUUAACGAGGAACAAUUGGAGGGCAAGUCUGGUGCCAGCAGCCGCGGUAAUUCCAGCUCCAAUAGCGUAUAUUAAAGUUGUUGCAGUUAAAAAGCUCGUAGUUGAACCUUGGGCCUGGCUGGCCGGUCCGCCUCACCGCGUGCACUGGUCCGGCCGGGCCUUUCCUUCUGGGGAGCCGCAUGCCCUUCACUGGGCGUGUCGGGGAACCAGGACUUUUACUUUGAAAAAAUUAGAGUGUUCAAAGCAGGCCUUUGCUCGAAUACAUUAGCAUGAAAUAAUAGAAUAGGACGUGUGGUUCUA